AUUGAACGCUGGCGGCAGGCCUAACACAUGCAAGUCGAACGAGUGGCGGACGGGUGAGCAAUGUCUGGGAAACUGCCUGAUGGAGGGGGAUAACUACUGGAAACGGUAGCUAAUACCGCAUACCAUCGGAUGUGCCCAGAUGGGAUUAGCUAGUAGGUGGGGUAACGGGUCACCUAGGCGACGAUCCCUAGCUGGUCCGAGAGGAUGACCAGCCACACUGGAACUGAGACACGGUCCAGAGUCCUACGGGAGGCAGCAGUGGGGAAUAGUGGACAAUGGGCGAAAGCCUGAUGCAGCCAUGCCGCGUGUAUGAAGAAGGCCUUCGGGUUGUAAAGUACUUUCAGCGAGGAGGCGUUACUCGCAGAAGAAGCGCCGGCUAACUCCGUGCCAGCAGCCGCGGUAAUAC
rnacentral:rRNA from 1 species